AUAAAUGGGGAAAAGGGGAAAUGGACCAAAAUAAUCAAUACAACACACAACAUAAAUAAAUGCCCACAAUCAAAUAAUUGUGUAACAAAUAAUAAAUCAAUUGCUGUGAUUUCCUGUGCAACAGUCCUUUUGUUAAGAGUCCUUUUCGGUCCUUUUCUUUUUAAAGUUCACUUUUUAAGGUAUUCCUCCUUAGGGUCCAGUUUCAUACAAUGGGGAAAAAAUAUGUCCGUAAUCCAUAGACGGCAAAGCGGGGGAAAAAAAAAAAACAAAGAAUGGUCCUACCGGCUCGCCACUUCAAUAUGAAGAAGAUCAAUUUAAAGGGAAAAAAAAAACCUGACCUGUAGGCCAGAAAAAUAUCCAUUAGUAAAUCAAAAUCAAUUCAGUUUACCGGUAAACAAAUACAUUUUUCGGCAAGUCUAUGUAACAAUGCAAAUCAUCAUCAUCAUCAAUCACAAAUGUACAACAGUUAAAUUAGUAAUCAUCUUGGCUACGUAGCUUAAUCUAUAUAUUCCAGUAGCGUUCGCUACAAACAAAUACAAAAAUAACAAUAAAGGAAAACAACUGUCUAACAGACAGCAUAGCCGAAUUCAAGGCAACACAUAACAAUAAUCAUUUAAUUGCACUUUGUUUCAAAGUAAGCCCAUUAAAGCGCUUAAGGAAAUAAAGGUGUUCAAAAACAGCGGUUUUUGAACCGGAGUUCUGCUCGCGGUGGGAACGCCGCCGAACAAAGUCAUUUGUUAAUCGCGAAAACGGCCGGCUGGUUACUGACGACUAAAAGGUUGUUAUUAGUAGAUGUUAAGAACACUUACCGCUGAGGUGAUACAAUUUUAUAGACGGGUUUAGGGGAGAAAAACGCUUUGUUUUCCAACGCGGUUCCACACGACAUAAGCUUACAGCCACAGCAGGAGUCGAACCCGGAAGUAUCCCUCCACGGCCGUAUUCAUAGUUGCCGCGACGUGGAAGGAGCCAAUCAGGAGAGGGGCCUCAAAUCAGCUGGCUUGAGUCAUUUGACAGGGAGUAGUUGAUAUGGGUUACACAAGCACAAGAAAAGACAUUUAGUAUUUUCCUCCUGCCAUAGAAAUAUUAAUCACCUGCUGCUAAUUUUCAAGGAGCCACGAAUCACUGAUUAUAUUCUAAAGGCUGCUGCACAAAAUCACUAAAUUGCUUCAAAAUACAACAAACACGUUUCCAUGAAGCUUUGUAAACAGUUAAACAAACAGGUUACAUCAGCCCAGAGACAAAAUACUUACUCAGAGCAAAUGGUCACAGCAGGCCAAAGCACUUUUUCCCACAACAGUGAAAUAUUUAAAUAAAAAUACUUUAUUUAUCAUUUUAACUGACAAACUUCACUAAUGUAAAGUCAUCACUGCAAAAUCUUUGAACAUGAAGUUCAGUUCUGGUCAAAUGUUCACUUAAAUUCAGGAAGUGAGAUGAAGUCCUCCUCCCUUCCUCCUAA
rnacentral:lncRNA from 1 species